rnacentral:rRNA from 1 species
GACGAACGCUGGCGGCGUGCUUAACACAUGCAAGUCGAGCGGUAAGGCCCUUUCGGGGGUACACGAGCGGCGAACGGGUGAGUAACACGUGGGUGACCUGCCUUUAGCUCUGGGAUAAGCCUGGGAAACUGGGUCUAAUACCGGAUAUGACUCCGCGGUGCAUGCUGUGGGGUGAAAGCCUUGUGCGGCUGGAGAUGGGCCCGCGGCCUAUCAGCUUGUUGGUGGGGUGAUGGCCUACCAAGGCGACGACGGGUAGCCGGCCUGAGAGGGCGACCGGCCACACUGGGACUGAGACACGGCCCAGACUCCUACGGGAGGCAGCAGUGGGGAAUCUUGGACAAUGGGCGCAAGCCUGAUCCAGCCAUGCCGCGUGAGUGAAGAAGGCCUU